rnacentral:rRNA from 1 species
GACGAACGCUGGCGGCGUGCUUAACACAUGCAAGUCGAACGGAAAGGCCCUUCGGGGUACUCAAGUGGCGAACGGGUGAGUAACACGUGGGUGAUCUGCCCUGCACUUUGGGAUAAGCCUGGGAAACUGGGUCUAAUACCGAAUAGGACCACGCGCUUCAUGGUGUGUGGUGGCAAGCUUUUGCGGUGUGGGAUGGGCCCGCGGCCUAUCAGCUUGUUGGUGGGGUAAUGGCCUACCAAGGCGACGACGGGUAGCCGGCCUGAGAGGGUGACCGGCCACACUGGGACUGAGGUACGGCCCAGACUCCUACGGGAGGCAGCAGUGGGGAAUAUUGCACAAUGGGCGCAAGCCUGAUGCAGCGACGCCGCGUGAGGGAUGACGGCCUUCGGGUUGUAAACCUCUUUCAAUAGGGACGAAGCGCAAGUGACGGUACCUAUAGAAGAAGCACCGGCCAACUACGUG